GUCAGGCCUCCAGCCUCCUUCCUCACUUUGUUCAGGGCUGCAUCCUGAGGCUGGAGCCCCUCUCCAGGCCCUGAGACCCAGCUGCACAGGAGACCAAGUCCUGCUCUGCAGAGAAUGUAUCCUCCUUGCCCGACAAGGACCCUCAGUGGCUGAGCAGUGGAGAUCCAGACUUGGAGGUGUUCACAAGUGGAACCACAGAGACUGAAACACCAGAUACCCAGUGGUAACUUGCAGGAGAUCCUAGGAACAGAAGCUUUGUCAUCAGAUAUCUUGGCCCAAAAGACUAAAAUUAUUGCCAUCACUUGACCUUUACAUCUCAGUGAAGGUAAGAAAGCUAACAUCUAUACUGACUCAAAAUAUACCUUUUCAAUUGUCAGAGCACAUGGGGCAAUUUGGAAAGAUAGAUUGCUCACAUCUGAAAGAAAAGAAAUCAAACAUGCCCCCAAGAAGUUUUGAAACUGCUAGAUGCAGUGCUCAAGCCAAAGGAGGCAGCAGUUGUGCAUUGCCCAGGACAGCCAGGAUAAAAACACCUUUGGCUAUACCUCUGUUCUUAAGUACAGACCUGACCCAAUUUAGUUUGACA